AAAAAAGCAAACCGUGAAUUCCUGUGCUAACGUUUGACUGUCCGUUUUAUAUAAAUUUUUUUUAUAAUUAGUAUUUUUAUUGUUGUUAGAUGAUAAAACAUAAUUAAUAUUUUAUGCGUGACUUAUCUUUUUAAUUUUUUUUAUAACUUUUUCAAAUAAAACGAACGGUCAAAAGUUGGACAAGAAACCAAUGUUUGUCUUUUUU
rfam:Oryza barthii chromosome 2, whole genome shotgun sequence.